GGAGGGAGCUCUCCUUUGAUCUUCCAGAGGCCCCGGCCAGUGCGGUAGCAUCUGCAGCCCUUUAAGCAGACACGUCUGGUUAGGAUCAUCCACUGCUUCCGCCGAAACAGGGUUUAGAGUAGGAGACCUCCCUUCAAAGAGGUGGCUUUGCUGAGCAGUAAAAUUGAUGAAUUACCGGAAGGGAUAAGGAAAACAAAGCCUUCUGCUGAUCCCACGGGGUAGGGCCUGCUGUGGCAGAGAUGCUCGGCAAAUAAUGGACGGAUUUACCUCCCGUCACCCUCUCUGUGCC